GUGUCAACCUGGCAGGGGAGAUACCAUAAUCACAAAGGUGGUUUUCUCAGAGCGAGGCUCAUCCAUUGCACUGCAGGUGUGCUGACCCCUGCGAUUUCCCCAAAUGUGGGAAACUUGACUGCAUAAAUUUGUGGUAGUGGGGGACUGUGUUCGCACUUUCUCCUU
rfam:Chelonia mydas contig156489, whole genome shotgun sequence.